rnacentral:rRNA from 1 species
GUGAGGAAUAUUGGGCAAUGGGCGAAAGCCUGACCCAGCCACGCCGCGUGAGUGAUGAAGGCCUUCGGGUUGUAAAGCUCUGUGGGGAGGGAAGAAAAAGCGGGAGAGUAACUGCUCUCGUGUUGACGGUACCUCCUUAGCAAGCACCGGCUAACUCUGUGCCAGCAGCCGCGGUAAUACAGAGGGUGCAAACGUUGCUCGGAAUUACUGGGCGUAAAGCGCGUGUCAGCUGACAUGCAAGUCGGGUGUGAAAUCCCAGGGCUCAACCUUGGAACUGCACUCGAAACUGCACGUCUUGAGUACUGGAGAGGGAAGCGGAAUUCCGGGUGUAGAGGUGAAGUUCGUAGAUAUCCGGAGGAACACCAGUGGCGAAGGCGGCUUCCUGGACAGUAACUGACGCUGAGACGCGAAAGCGUGGGGAGCAAACAGGAUUAGAUACCCGAGUAGUCC